UAGCAGGAUGUUUUUGGAUUCA
rnacentral:piRNA from 1 species